UACGGAGGGGGCUAGCGUUGUUCGGAAUUACUGGGCGUAAAGCGCACGUAGGCGGCUUUGUAAGUUAGAGGUGAAAGCCCGGGGCUCAACUCCGGAAUUGCCUUUAAGACUGCAUCGCUAGAAUUGUGGAGAGGUAAGUGGAAUUCCGAGUGUAGAGGUGAAAUUCGUAGAUGUUCGGAAGAACACCAGUGGCGAAGGCGACUUACUGGACACAUAUUGACGCUGAGGUGCGAAAGCGUGGGGAGCAAACAGG
rnacentral:rRNA from 1 species